rnacentral:lncRNA from 1 species
GGGGCCCUCCAGUCCACAGAAAGCUUACCCAGGCUCAGAGCCCACGGCAGGCAGCAUCCCCAGGCCUUGCACGGCAGAGCAGAAUUUCUCAGCCAGAGACCAGCAAUCCAGGAAGUGCAGGAUCGGCGAGUCCUGCAAGUCCUUUCCAAGGACGCAGCACAGUGGCCACAGGCCUCCCACGAGACCCCACGGUGCAAGGGCCCCAGACCUCCUGGGGGUGCACAUCUGCUGGACACUUAUGCAACGGGGCACUGAGGCCCGCUCCAGUGGAGGAGAAAGCACGUUUACGACUGCCUGCCGGUAAUGACUUCCCUUUGCUUGAAUCAGUUGGUCCAAAAGCUGUGUUAUUUUCCUGGCUCCACUUAUUCAUGUCCUUAAACCGCAGGGGGCUAAGGUUACAGCAGACUUAGUCCUAGCCAGAGAGCAGGCGAGUCUGGACAAGUGAAGAGCAUACAUUUUAACUCAUGUGGGAAUGCAGGAAGAGCAACACCGUGCCUGUCUCCCUUUCUGCUGCUAUUGGAGAAGUGCUUGUUAUGACUGAGGGCACAGAUUUUGUUACUUUUCACAUAAGGAAUUGUCUGGAAAGGAAUAAGACUGAAGUUGGUGAGGAUAACUGAGAUCUACACAAGGGAGUCGAUGCCAAGAACUACAGGAAUCACAAUGGGAAUGAAAUAAACAAACAUGGAACAGAGUGGACCCUGUGUGGGCAGCUGAGCGAGAUGGACAGUCAUAAGUAACCCUCAGGACUUUGGCUUGAAAUCAUUUAUACAUGGGGCUGGCCUUUGUUCAGACAAGAAAGGAAAAUACAGUAAAGUGCAAAUGAUAUCUGUGUUAGUCUUUGUUGUGUUAAAGUGUCCAACUAUUUUAGUUUUACAAGCAGAAAAUGACUGCAUCUCAUUCAGAGAUUUUCAGAUUGUGGAAAUGUGCUUCACUGCUAUAGAUUCUUGAAUGAAGUAACAGCAAGUGUAUUUUUCUUCAGUGUAACUGUUGUGUUUUAGAUAGAAUGUUCCCCAAAAGCUCAUGUGGUCAGAGGCAGGGAUUUGGAAGGUGACUGAUCGUGGGGCACCUUAGCCAUCAGUGGAUUCAUCCUGAUGGGUUCACAGCUGAAUGUGCUGUUAGCAGUUGGAGCCUGGUGGGAAGAAG